rnacentral:rRNA from 1 species
GUACAACUUUCAGCAAUGGAUGUCUAGGCUCCAC